rnacentral:lncRNA from 1 species
AAGAAACUGAUUUUUAUAAAAUUGGGAGGUCUGCAGGCAGGAAUGACUGCAGAUAUUCUCAGCAGUUGAAGUCACUGGUUUAUUUUUUUCUCAAUAAAUUUUUAAUCUUCAGCUUUCAGCACUGUUACCAAAUUCCAUGAGAAUAUACUCAAAGAUAUGUCACUGGGAGCAAAGGGCCUCGUUGUUUGAAAGCAAUCUCCCCAAUCUCCUUCCUCGUAACCCCCAAGGCCUUCAAGAGACACAUGAAAUACAUCAUGUCCAUUUCCUCAUGGGGCAUGGAAUGCAUACUGUCAUCACGCUGUUGUUUCUGCUGCAAACAUUUGUGUUCUGGAGAAGUAACAACUUGCAGCCUCCUCAGAGGCACGGGAGACCCAUGGUCUGUAGUCUCUUCCUAUGAGUGUUAUUAUCACCUCCGUUUCCUUCCACCUUGAGAAGUGGUAGGAUUGCAGAAAGCCCGCAAGUGAACAGGUCUCUACUGUACCAGGGAUGCAACCGGAAAGUGCAUCUCCAAGCUGCUUACAGUUCGUAUCAUGAAAGCACGAGAAGUGCUUCAGCACAAUUGCCCUUAUUCAGGAGGUGAUUAGCCAGUCGAGAGCUAGUUUAAUCCCAGUGUCAGAGUGAGGAAGAAGUGUAUUGAAGUUCUGAUAGACAAACAGUACAUCGAAUGCAGUCAAGUGUCGGUGGAUGAAUACAGCUACAUCAUGGCAUGUCACUCCUCUUCAGUGUGUGAGAUCACUGCCAUCACCAUUUGAUGUGUUCCUGUGGGAAAAAGCAGCCCUGAGCCUCCAUAAUUUGGUCAUUUGGCAGCCCCUGUUUUCUGCUGUUUACGUCACCAGUGCCACAUCAUGAGCCUCAAAGAAAAUGCCUAGAGAUGUUUCAAGCUCAUGUCGUUAUGACAUUUCUUAAAGCUUUAUUAAAAGAAUGAAUGACCUAUUGCUGAAGUGUGGAAAUUUGGUUGGGUUCCAUGCUUUUUCUCCCAUUCAGUUGUGUGUGUGUGUG